AUACGGAGGGUGCAGGCGUUAUCCGGAAUCAUUGGGUUUAAAGGGUCCGUAGGCGGGCAAUUAAGUCAGAGGUGAAAUCCCACAGCUCAACUGUGGAACUGCCUUUGAUACUGGUUGUCUUGAGUUAUAGUGAAGUAGAUAGAAUGUGUAGUGUAGCGGUGAAAUGCAUAGAUAUUACACAGAAUACCGAUUGCGAAGGCAGUCUACUAACUGUUGACUGACGCUAAUGGACGAAAGCGUGGGGAGCGAACAGGAUUAGAAACCCGAGUAGUCC
rnacentral:rRNA from 1 species